GGGGGUGUGGUGUAACGGAUAUCAUCGGGGGUUUCGAACCCUUAGAUCCCGGUUCGACUCCGGGCACCCUCGCCG
rnacentral:tRNA from 2 species